rnacentral:lncRNA from 1 species
AUGCGCACAGCCACCGCCAUUCUCCAAUGUUCAGCCUUACCUUUACCUCAAUUGUUUAUUCGCGUGCGCCAUCAUUCAUCAACCAAAUUGUUCGUUGCAGGGCUUUCCUAUAACACCAAUGAAACGGUCCUAAGAGACACAUUUAAACAACAUGGGGAAAUCAUUGAAGUUAAAGUAAUAUGUGACCACAAAACUGGAGAAUCAAAAGAGUACGGAUUUGUUAGGUUCAAUUCUGAAACUGCAGCUGCCAUAGCUCGCAAAGAAUUGCACGGAAAGUUUCACAGAUAG